CCUUUCACAAGUGUCUGGACGACUGUUGUGGCUUUGUGAUCGUGAAUGCAGUACUUCCGGUGCACCAGAGAGUCCUUUAUAUACAGGGCUUCAGAAGGUUUGGGCACGCAGAAGCGGCGACAUCGUAUCAGCGAGCAGAGGACCUGAUUCUUCACCGUCAGCACUUUGACAUACUGUGGAACGUACUCCCCUGUAGUGAAGUGGAUUCACCCGGCGUUCGUAAUUGCAGCGCGUCUGGUCGUUGCUAGGCGACGACACUCAAGAGGAGUGCACGCCGUUCGACCUUGAGAGGGUGGCAACACUCACCCACACCACACCCUACCUCCGCCUACAGCUGUCCAAGCGGGAGGGCCCGAGGUACCCACCCACCCACCACCUGAGACCAUCUGUGGCAGGCGGAUCGCGUUUUCUCUGCAGACACCUAACUCCUGUAUAAGGUGGUUGUUGUAAGCCAGGAUGACCUCCACUACUAGCAUGGAGGUUGAUGAAGACCACUGAGAUUGGAUAGCGUCGUAUAACCCGGAUGUGUUGAGCUAAACCAUCAGUUCACCGCCAGCAGUUAAGAGGAGGUAGCUAGACUGUGUUCGCUGUCCACCCGUGAUCUCACAUUGAGGAGUAAACCCGGCCAGCUCACACAGCAUUGUUUUGAAUGAGUCCACCACUAAGUGGAGUUACGUAUUGGCUGUUUUAUUCAUCGGAGUAUCAAUGUAUGUAAUCUUCUCAGUUGUAUGGGUAUUUGGAGUCAACAAGAGUAUGAUGGUCGCCACCUUACUUUUUGGCGAAUGUAGCAAAGUAGCGUAGAGAAGCAACUGGUCCUGGUGCUGUUAAUGUAUUAGUGUUGGUGCUAUUACCAGGGUCGUGUUACGAUUUACGAGCUAAGGUUCUCAGGUAACUUGUGUUGAUGGUGCUGAAACGUGCUAUAUGUAAGAUUAUAGUGUCGUGUGUCUUGUUAAAGGCACACCAAGUAAUGAAGUAAGUUGGAAAAUGUACCUAGUUGAAAGUACAAGAUGAGUAGAGCCAGGGAGUUCAUCCUUGUAGUUGUGUGUUACUGAAAGUUGUCGCAAGUCUAGCUUCAUUUUAAUAAACCAUUUUUAUUGUA